rnacentral:rRNA from 1 species
UACGUAUGGAGCAAGCGUUAUCCGGAUUUACUGGGUGUAAAGGGAGCGUAGACGGCUUGGCAAGUCUGAUGUGAAAGGCCGGGGCUCAACCCCGGGACUGCAUUGGAAACUGUCAGGCUAGAGUGCCGGAGAGGUAAGCGGAAUUCCUAGUGUAGCGGUGAAAUGCGUAGAUAUUAGGAGGAACACCAGUGGCGAAGGCGGCUUACUGGACGGUAACUGACGUUGAGGCUCGAAAGCGUGGGGAGCAAACAGG